UUAAGCAUAUCAAUAAGCGGAGGAAAAGAAACUAACAAGGAUUCCCCUAGUAACGGCGAGUGAAGCGGGAUGAGCUCAAAUUUAAAAUCUGAUAGUCUUUGGCUGUCCGAGUUGUAAUCUAGAGAAGUGUUUUCCGCGUUGGACCAUGUACAAGUUUCCUGGAACGGAACGUCAUAGAGGGUGAGAAUCCCGUCCUUGACAUGGACUACCAGUGCUUUGUGAUACACUCUCAACGAGUCGAGUUGUUUGGGAUUGCAGCUCAAAAUGGGAGGUAAAUUCCUUCUAAAGCUAAAUAUUGGCGAGAGACCGAUAGCGAACAAGUACCGUGAGGGAAAGAUGAAAAGCACUUUGGAAAGAGAGUUAAACAGUACGUGAAAUUGUUAAAAGGGAAACGAUUGAAGUCAGUCGCGUUUGCUUGGACUCAGCCUUACCUCGGUUUGGUGCAUUUCCUUGUGAACGGGCCAGCGUCAAUGUUGUUCGUUGGAAAAGGGUUAGAGAAAUGUGGCUCUUUCGGGAGUGUUAUAGUCUCUGAUCGUAUACAACGGCUGAUAUUGAGUGGUACAGCAUGCUUCGGCGGUGCUUGUGCUGGCAUAAU
rnacentral:rRNA from 1 species